CAACGCGACCCCAGGUCAGGCGGGGCUACCCGCUGAGUUUAAGCAUAUCAAUAAGC
rnacentral:rRNA from 10 species